rnacentral:rRNA from 1 species
UUGCAGUUAAAAAGCUCGUAGUCGGAUUUCAGAUUUCUUUUAACAUACUUUCAAGGUUUGUUACAAAGACAUCUUCUUUGACAGAAGGGUUCUUGGUAUUGAUUUACUGAGUUCUUCGACUGUCUCUUUUACUUUGAGAAAAUUAGAGUGUUCAAAGCAGGUUCUUCGCCUGAAUAUUACUCUUGGAAUAAUACUAUAGGACUCUGUCUCUAGUUUGUUGGAUUACUGGAGCCGGGGUAAUGAUUAAUAGCGACGGUUGGGGUCAUUCGUACUGCAAAGCGAGAGGUGAAAUUCUUGGACCUUUGUAUGACGAACAACUGCGAAAGCAUUUGACUAGGACGUUCGCGUUGAUCAAGAACGAAAGUUGGGGGAUCGAAGACGAUCAGAUACCGUCGUAGUCUCAACCAUAAACUAUGCCAGCUAGGGAUGAGCGAAUGUUAUCUACUGACUUCGUUUGCACCUUAUGAGAAAUCAAAGCAUUUGGGUUCCGGGGGGAGUAUGGUCGCAAGGCUGAAACUUAAAGGAAUUGACGGGAGGGCACCACCAGGAGUGGAGCCUGUUGCUUAAUUUGAUUCAACACGGGAAAACUUACCAUGUCCGGACAUAGUAAGGAUUGACAGAUUGUAAGCUCUUUCUUGAUUCUAUGGGUGGUGGUGC